CAUCAAAGUAAUGGAGACUCAUAAGGGAGGGACCAGAAUUUAUUUCCGCCGGCUAGGGUUCCACUGCGAACUCGAUGACGAUGGUGAUUUUCGGUUUAGCGGCGGCUAGGGUUUCACUGCUAAGAUGAUGACAAUUUGGAAGAAGAAAUCGUGUUUCUUAGACGACGACUAUUGUUAUGUGGACCACGAUUUGUUCUCAUCCGGUCAGGAAACCGCUUCUAAUGCCCAUCACCGGAGUAACAGACAGAGAACAGAAGAAUAGAGAGAUGAUGGUUCGUUUUCCUGCUUCUUCUUGACACCGAUUCGUCCUCAUUAGAGGAUUCCGUUCUUGAAAUCGAACUCACUGUGGGUGAUGUAGCUGGUAUUCAUCAGAUAUGCUAGCCCUAUGGUCGACUAAUGUUGUGAUGGUGAAAACAUCGAUUAAAAUUAGAGACUGCUUGCGAUGAUGUGGUCAAUCAUGUUAGAUUAGUAAUUAACAAAACUGACACAAAUAGCCGAAACCUCUGCACAAACAUAUCAUUUCCUAAAACUUCAACAGAACAAACUCCACCAGUCUUUUCCUCAAACAAAGCAAAAAUUCCUAAAUUACAAAUCCAUCCUCAAACUUUCAGGUACAUGGGUUUGAAUUUCUUUGCAUCUUCUGCGAUUGGUUAUCUCUUUUGGAUUGUGUACGAACGGAGGUCUUUGUUGGUGGGAGGAAAGGUGCACCGACGUAAUUUGGAUCAGAGCAGUGCUUCUAAGAAGGGGCAUCAGGAAUGAUAGGAAGGGGAAACAACUUUUGAACAGUUGGCCACUAGAAAAACAACGCGACUGGAAGCCGUUGGUCAAGAAGCCACAUUGCCUAGGACAAUCUCCAUUUUUUCAAGUUAUGUAAAUAACAUCCUUAAUGUUAGUCAUGUAACGUGCAGCCGUAACCUUUGUAUUAAACUUGGAUACCAUAUUUUGGGGUACACCAUAUCUAAUCGAUGUGACUGUGACUUUGAUGGAAUGCCACACGGCUUAAGAGAAAUAUAAAUCUCGCCCCCUGCCGCAUCGCGGCGGGUUGUGCUUCUAGUUUAA